CUACGUGCCAGCAGCCGCGGUAAUACGUAGGUGGCAAGCGUUGUCCGGAUUUAUUGGGCGUAAAGCGAGCGCAGGCGGUCAAUUAAGUCUGAUGUGAAAGCCCCCGGCUCAACCGGGGAGGGUCAUUGGAAACUGGUUGACUUGAGUGCAGAAGAGGAGAGUGGAAUUCCAUGUGUAGCGGUGAAAUGCGUAGAUAUAUGGAGGAACACCAGUGGCGAAGGCGACUCUCUGGUCUGUAACUGACGCUGAGGCUCGAAAGCGUGGGUAGCAAACAGGAUUAGAUACCCUGGUAGUCCACGCCGUAAACGAUGAGUGCUAGGUGUUAGACCCUUUCCGGGGUUUAGUGCCGCAGCUAACGCAUUAAGCACUCCGCCUGGGGAGUACGACCGCAAGGUUGAAACUCAAAGGAAUUGACGGGGGCCCGCACAAGCGGUGGAGCAUGUGGUUUAAUUCGAAGCAACGCGAAGAACCUUACCAGGUCUUGAC
rnacentral:rRNA from 1 species